rnacentral:rRNA from 1 species
UACGAAGGGGGCUAGCGUUGCUCGGAAUCACUGGGCGUAAAGCGCACGUAGGCGGCUUAUUAAGUCAGAGGUGAAAUCCUGGAGCUCAACUCCAGAACUGCCUUUGAUACUGAUGAGCUUGAGUUCGGGAGAGGUGAGUGGAACUGCGAGUGUAGAGGUGAAAUUCGUAGAUAUUCGCAAGAACACCAGUGGCGAAGGCGGCUCACUGGCCCGAUACUGACGCUGAGGUGCGAAAGCAUGGGGAGCGAACAGGA